rnacentral:rRNA from 1 species
AACCCUAGUCAAUAGAUUCACGGCGUAAAACGUGUUUAAGGAAUAUUUUUAUAAAGUCAAACUUUAGCUACGCUGUAAAAAGCCACAGCUACUGUAAGCCCUAACGCGAAAGUAACUUUAAGACACCUGAAUACACGACAGCUAAGGCCCAAACUGGGAUUAGAUACCCCACUAUGCUUAGCCCUAAACUUAAAGAGUCCUCCCAACAAGACUCUUCGCCAGAGUACUACUAGCCAAAGCUUAAAACUCAAGGGACUUGGCGGUGCUUCAUAUCCCUCUAGAGGAGCCUGUUCUAUAAUCGAUAAACCCCGAUCAACCUCACCAACCCUUGCCAACU